UGGCCCAAUAGAUUUUACAACAGAUAUCAGUUUUACAGAAGAGGCUCAAUAAGACAAAAUUUAAAUAAAUCCAAAAAGAGGAGAUCACUACAUGUUAACACGUGUUUGUUCCGAGAGAUUUCAAUUCUGUACGCUCAACUCCAUACGUCUUUCAUGCGAAAAUUUAACCUCCGGCCACUGUCAGACUGCACCACCAUGGUCUUCUGCGG
rnacentral:lncRNA from 1 species